rnacentral:rRNA from 1 species
GACGUAGGGCGCGAGCGUUGUCCGGAUUUAUUGGGCGUAAAGAGCUCGUAGGCGGCUUGUCGCGUCGUCUGUGAAAUCCCGCGGCUCAACCGCGGGUCUGCAGUCGAUACGGGCAGGCUAGAGUUCGGUAGGGGAGACUGGAAUUCCUGGUGUAGCGGUGAAAUGCGCAGAUAUCAGGAGGAACACCGGUGGCGAAGGCGGGUCUCUGGGCCGAUACUGACGUGAGGAGCGAAAGCGUGGGGGAGCAAACAGG